CACCAGAUGUGAAACUCAAAGGCUGCUUCAUAUAGAUAUCUUCCUCAAGAUAUCCAUAGGCCUGCAAAUGGAUCAGAUCGGAUUGGGUCUUGAGUGAUCCCGACCUGACUCAAUUUCUCGAUCAGGUCUUGAUAUUGGACCCAUACCCAUCCCAAUUAAAAAUUGGAUCGGGUCGGAUCGGGUCUAUGGUUGAAUUUAUUGACCCAUUGGAUCAUUCGGG
rnacentral:lncRNA from 1 species